CCUACGGGAGGCAGCAGUAGGGAAUCUUGCGCAAUGGGCGAAAGCCUGACGCAGCCAUGCCGCGUGAAUGAUGAAGGUCUUAGGAUUGUAAAAUUCUUUCACCGGGGACGAUAAUGACGGUACCCGGAGAAGAAGCCCCGGCUAACUUCGUGCCAGCAGCCGCGGUAAUACGAAGGGGGCUAGCGUUGCUCGGAAUUACUGGGCGUAAAGGGAGCGUAGGCGGAUAGUUUAGUCAGAGGUGAAAGCCCAGGGCUCAACCUUGGAACUGCCUUUGAUACUGGCUAUCUUGAGUAUGGGAGAGGUGAGUGGAACUCCGAGUGUAGAGGUGAAAUUCGUAGAUAUUCGGAAGAACACCAGUGGCGAAGGCGACUCACUGGCCCAUUACUGACGCUGAGGCUCGAAAGCGUGGGGAGCAAACAGGAUUAGAUACCCUGGUAGUCCACGCCGUAAACGAUGAGUGCUAGUUGUCGGCAUGCAUGCAUGUCGGUGACGCAGCUACGCAUAAGACACUCCGCCGUGGGAGGUACGGUCGCAGAUAAACUACGAAGAAGUAGACGNGNGAGAGUGCGACGACGACGACGAGGGAGGAGG
rnacentral:rRNA from 1 species